GAUGAACGCUGGCGGCGUGCCUAAUACAUGCAAGUCGAGCGAACGGACGAGAAGCUUGCUUCUCUGAUGUUAGCGGCGGACGGGUGAGUAACACGUGGAUAACCUACCUAUAAGACUGGGAUAACUUCGGGAAACCGGAGCUAAUACCGGAUAAUAUUUUGAACCGCAUGGUUCAAAAGUGAAAGACGGUCUUGCUGUCACUUAUAGAUGGAUCCGCGCUGCAUUAGCUAGUUGGUAAGGUAACGGCCUACCAAGGCAACGAUGCAUAGCCGACCUGGGAGGGUGAUCGGCCACACUGGAACUGGGACACGGUCCAGACGCCUGCGGGAGGGAGCAGUAGGGAAUCUUCCGCAAUGGGCGAAAGCCUGACGGAGCAACGCCGCGUGAGUGAUGAAGGUCUUCGGAUCGUAAAACUCUGUUAUUAGGGAAGAACAUAUGUGUAAGUAACUGUGCACAUCUUGACGGUACCUAAUCAGAAAGCAACGGCUAACUACGUG
rnacentral:rRNA from 1 species